UUAUAACGUUAACCUGAUAUUAUUGAAAUUAUAUUGAUAGUGUUAGACUUUCAUUAUUAUUACAAUUAUAAUCAUUAUUAAAAAUGGGUUUCUAUUUUUGUUCUAGAAUAUUCCUUUGUUUUAUGUAUGUAAUUAUCUUACCCAUAUUUUUAACAGGAAUGCCCAUCUCCGACGAAGAAACUAGUAACUAUGAGUCAAAUCAAAAUGAUGGACCAGCAUAAGACUUAGAAAUUGAUACAUCUGAUUCUUCAGAUGAGAAUGAUGGACCAUUAAAAAGUUUACUACGUGAAAUGUUAAAUGUCUCAAAUGAGAAAAUCGCUAGUCGAUAACAGCUUUGAAACCAGUAUUUUUGUAGAUAUUAACUUUUCAAAAUUAUUGCUGAUAUUAAUGCAUCAUAUAUUUGUAUAUGCACAAUAUUAGUUAAUUUAUGUACUACUAUUGUGUUAUAUCGGGGUAUAAUCGACGUACGACAUAAAUUGGCGCCAAACGUGGGGCUCGAACCCAUGACCUUAAGAUUAAGAUAAGUACUUAAAAAAUUCACUAUUAACACUAUUAAAAAAAAUAUAUUUAAUUUUAAAUUUACAUACAUACCUUAAUUUGAUUUUUAUUUUUUAUAAAUAUUUAUUAAUUAAUUUUAAUAAUUCUUUUAA